CCUUUACUUGUAACUACAUCAUGAUCCCUAUACAAAGGAAGUCCUCUCUGAUCUAGCUCUUUCUUUCCCUGCUUCUUUUUCUGGUUCCACCUUGCCCUUUCCUCUCUCUAUAAACCUCAUGUGGAACUUUUUGGCCUGGUGUGGUCUUUCUGGAGCCAUGCCACGAUCACAACUUUUGUGCCAAAGACUUCAGGAAUUGCUACACAGGGGAGCUGCAGAGCCCAGGUGUCUGUCGCUGCCCUGUGCCACCAGAGACCUGAGAACCAACACCACAUGGACAGCUGCCACCACCAUCACCACUACUACACCACGUGGACUCCAUCUGCUGACACCUGCAGUCAUCCACCAUGUGGAUUUCCACCGCUGCAGCAGACCAUCGCUGCCGCUGCGAGAUUCAUAGAAUUUUACCAUGUGAGCUGGGCCACUGCAGCCUACCAUGUGGAGCUGGCCUCUGGCCACACUGACCACAUGGUUCCACACUUCCUGCUACCUGACCUAUAAGCCUGAAAACACACACCAGCAUGUUGAUUGUUCCUGUUACAGGAUUACCAGCCACUGCCCACAGAAGAGCUGCUGUAGACAGAAGAACCUGAUGUGAAUGUUUACCAACCGGACCCCUAAGAAAGCUCACAUGGAAUUGUUUGGCCUGCUGUGGCCUUUUUGGAGCCCCACAACAAUCACAACAUUGGUGCUGUGACUCAGGAUGAUCACAACAGGAACCACUACAUCAACUGACUUAAUGAUACAAGUCUUGCUUUAAAAGGAAAAGGUCAUUGAAGAUUUUGUGAAAGUAAAAAAUUGUAAGCCCUAAUUAAGGGCUCAUUAAGUCACAUUUUAAAUGAGAAUAACACCCAGACCACAUUACAGGUCAAAGAGCUCCAAGAACAAAUCUGUUUCUUUCUUCAUUAAAUACACAUGAGACAUGUUCUGUACCUUUACUGGUGAAUUAUUAAAAAAUUAUGUUAAAAUGCUGUAAA